AGAGUUUGAUCCUGGCUCAGGAUGAACGCUGGCGGCGUGCCUAACACAUGCAAGUUGAGCGAUUUACUUCGGUAAAGAGCGGCGGACGGGUGAGUAACGCGUGGGUAACCUACCCUGUACACACGGAUAACAUACCGAAAGGUAUGCUAAUACGGGAUAAUAUAUUUGAGAGGCAUCUCUUGAAUAUCAAAGGUGAGCCAGUACAGGAUGGACCCGCGUCUGAUUAGCUAGUUGGUAAGGUAACGGCUUACCAAGGCGACGAUCAGUAGCCGACCUGAGAGGGUGAUCGGCCACAUUGGAACUGAGACACGGUCCAAACUCCUACGGGAGGCAGCAGUGGGGAAUAUUGCACAAUGGGCGAAAGCCUGAUGCAGCAACGCCGCGUGAGUGAUGAAGGCCUUCGGGUCGUAAAACUCUGUCCUCAAGGAAGAUAAUGACGGUACUUGAGGAGGAAGCCCCGGCUAACUACGUGCCAGCAGCCGCGGUAAUACGUAGGGGGCUAGCGUUAUCCGGAUUUACUGGGCGUAAAGGGUGCGUAGGCGGUCUUUCAAGUCAGGAGUGAAAGGCUACGGCUCAACCGUAGUAAGCUCUUGAAACUGGGAGACUUGAGUGCAGGAGAGGAGAGUGGAAUUCCUAGUGUAGCGGUGAAAUGCGUAGAUAUUAGGAGGAACACCAGUUGCGAAGGCGGCUCUCUGGACUGUAACUGACGCUGAGGCACGAAAGCGUGGGGAGCAAACAGGAUUAGAUACCCUGGUAGUCCACGCUGUAAACGAUGAGUACUAGGUGUCGGGGGUUACCCCCUU
rnacentral:rRNA from 1 species